AGCAGGGCAAUUAUGGUCUGUCAUUAAAUAUAUCUCUAUCGUCUACCGAAAGUGGAAUUAUAUUGUAGCUCAAAGCAUACUAAAGUUAUAAAUCGGGGUUUAAUAAAAUGAACGCGUCGAUAGAUAAAUGAUAAGUGUGUGAGUGACCACUGUUGUCUUUUAUAAAAAUCCGUUCAAUAGCUGCCUUUAUUUCAUUGCGGGAUGUGUUUUGGAACAAUAAAAUGCACGGAUUUUUCAAAUUGACAGCUGUGACACCUGUCAAAGUUUGAUUUGACAUAUUGACAAAUGUCACAUACACCCGAAAAACAUAGAAGUCAAAGAUGAAAGUAAGUUGUGUGUUGUAAAAACUAAAGGAAUUCCACCAAAAAUGGUAAGUUUAAUGAAAUAACAAUACUUAGUAUAUUAAUGGUAAUAUUUGGGUUCUUGUAGUUUGUUACAUUAUUAAUUGCUUUUGUUAUAUUUUUCAGUUGAUGCAAGACGGACAAGCGGGCAGGAGAAUGAUAGUGAAAUAUUUAAGAGGAUACGUACCCGGGAGUACAAACGUUUACGAUAAUAUCGUUAUCUCUAUCGCUCUUCAAUAUUGGCGCGACAGAGCCAGACUGUGUUUCAAUCGGCGUCUAGCGACGGCGAAUUUCCUCUGAGCAAUUCAGUCAGGGUAUGCUGCAAACAUACCAAGGAGCCAACAAGGAAUGUUGCUAGGCUUGCCGCGAGAGAUGUGAAAUGCCAUGACACAAAUUUUAAGUGGCCAUGACAUAUACUCAACAACAGCGGGCACUACAAGGCUCUGGCAUAGAGUACCUAGAGCAUGGAAUGAGGCCACCAUUGCAUAGUUAAAUAUGAUGGGGCUCCUUCUUGUUAUACUUUCUACAGCUGCAGAAAAAGAAAAACAAUGUAACACUGAACCAGUGAGGUGUAAUUGAACUAAAUGCCAUAAAACCAACUUGUUUGAAAUAGGUCCAGAAAAGUUAUAAGUUCAUGGUAUAUUAGAAAACACUCAAGAUGUCGAGGAAACACAAGAAGUUGAUGUCGAUCUAAUCAGAGAUAUUAAUUAUUAGAAAUGAAUGUAUUUGAAAUACAAAUAUAAAAUACCUAUUUUCAAUUUUAAAUACUUUUAUCAAAAACUAUUUUGUAUUUUAUUUCAAAUACUAUAAAGUGGAUGUGUUUUGCAUUUUUCUAAACUUUAAAAUACAAAAUUCUUUUUUCACCACACCAACUGGUAGAAGCUCUCUUCAUUCUCCAAAAAACGGAUGAGAAAGUUGAAUUUUAUCCGCAAGAUUGCAAAGUUGUUUCAUACAGAUUUUAACUUGUCCUAAGCUGGCUGGUAGAUUUUGCCUUUUAAGUAGGUAUGGUGUUUUUGAAUCAUAUCAUACCUACUCGCAUAUGUUUAAUAAAUUGAUGAUUUUGAUUUAGGUACAGUUAGUAUUUUCCUCGUAUUGCUAUGGUGAAAAAAUUGGUGUUUCCCUCGGGGCAAAAUUUGUAUAACCAUUGUGCCUUGAAACCCUCGCAACGCUCAAAACUAAUAGAGCUGCACCUAAGAAAGGUUACUUGUUAGAUUAGUUUGUUUGUUUUUGCACUUCUUCGUUACUUUAUGUAAACUGUAUUAAGUUGUGACAAUAAAGAUUAUUAAUUCAAUAUUUUUAUACGACAUACAUAAAAAAUAUGGAAAUAUAUGGAGAAUGGCUCUAAUUUCCAGUUAUCUGAACUUGUGAAAGUUUUAACAGUGCAGAACUUAAUUUCAAUGACCGAAGAGCUGGCGACUUCCUCACACAACUUAUCAGCAUUGCGGUACAGCGAGGGAUACAAUGCCUUAAGGGCCUAUUUUAGACAUUAGGUUUAGAAAAAGAUAAUGUACAUUUCUGUGAUGAAAAAUAGUGUAUUUAUAUUUUCUUUAAUUUAUAUUUUUCUGGGUUUUGUAACACAACAGUACAGUACAUUUUAACUCAGAACCUAUAUACAAAUGUCUUAAGUACAUUUUACACCUACUGUACCUGAAAUUUACAUACUAAUGUUUU